rnacentral:hammerhead_ribozyme from 1 species
AUCUGACUGACGAGUUCCAAGUAGGACAAAACGCACGUCCUGGAU